rnacentral:rRNA from 1 species
UACGAAGGGGGCUAGCGUUGCUCGGAAUUACUGGGCGUAAAGCGCGCGUAGGCGGGUCGUUAAGUCGGGGGUGAAAUCCUGGAGCUCAACUCCAGAACUGCCUUCGAUACUGGCGAUCUUGAGUCCAGGAGAGGUGAGUGGAACUCCGAGUGUAGAGGUGAAAUUCGUAGAUAUUCGGAAGAACACCAGUGGCGAAGGCGGCUCACUGGCCCGGUACUGACGCUGAGGUGCGAAAGCGUGGGGAGCAAACAGG